rnacentral:rRNA from 1 species
GACAGAGGGUGCAAACGUUGUUCGGAAUUACUGGGCGUAAAGGGUGCGUAGGUGGCGUCGUAAGUCGGGUGUGAAAUCUCGGGGCUUAACUCCGAAACUGCAUUCGAUACUGCGGUGCUUGAGGACUGGAGAGGAGACUGGAAUUUACGGUGUAGCAGUGAGAUGCGUAGAGAUCGUAAGGAAGACCAGUGGCGAAGGCGGGUCUCUGGAAAGUUCCUGACACUGAGGCACGAAGGCCAGGGGAGCAAACGGG